CACGUAGGGUGCGAGCGUUAAUCGGAAUUACUGGGCGUAAAGCGUGCGCAGGCGGUUCGUUGUGUCGGUGGUGAAAGCCCCGGGCUUAACCUGGGAAUGGCCAUGGAAACUGGCGAACUGGAGUGUGGCAGAGGGGGGUGGAAUUCCGCGUGUAGCAGUGAAAUGCGCAGAUAUCGGGAGGAACACCAAUGGCGAAGGCAGCUCGCUGGGACGGUACUGACGCUGAGACGCGAAAGCGUGGGGAGCAAACAGG
rnacentral:rRNA from 1 species